ensembl:lncRNA
AAAUAAUGAAAUGUCCCAAUGUAAUAAGGAGAUAGCUUACGUCUGAGGAGUUUGAGCUACCACCCGAGGUGUUCCAGGUUCAUCCCCCUCCUCUGCCACAGAUAUCCUCUUGUGGUUGAAGGUGACUAACAGCUGGGGAAUAUCAUAUAUUCAGAUAAGCAUCUGGAACAAGAACAUGCUCAAAUAGUUGUGUUUUGAUGCUUGUUACUGCAUUUUGAGCUAAAACACUGUUUAUUUUCUGGAGGUGGGAAGAAGACACAUGGCAAAGCCACAGCUUUGGCUGCAGGAAUAGAGCCCAGCAAAUACUGGCCACUGAAGUCACCAAGAGACCUUGAUUGCCCUGACCAGCAUCACCUGGGAUCCUCAUCCCACACACUCUCUGCCCAGAGGUCUGUGGGCACUAUUAAGUCACAGCUGUGCUGGCUGACCCUAUCCAACCAGCAAUGAGUACUCUAAAGGACCACAGUCUGAAAGUCCCUUCAGGAGAAAGAAGACAUGAGUGCACCCUGAUUUGAAAGGCAAGGUCUUCCUGCAUCCUUUUGACUGAUGGGAUAUGAUGACUACAGCUGAAAAGCAGCCUGUAAGUUGCCUCAUAUACACCAUAGUAGAGAUGAAAAUUUUUCAGGCCGGGCAAAGAGAUGAAUGCAGUGAUGCGUUCUCCUAGGAAGAGUGGAUGACAACAGAGCAAAUUCUGUGAGCAGGGCUGGUACUGGAAAUAAUCUGCUUUUUUGUGAGAGUACUCCAUGUCUGCCAGGUGUAAUGGCAGAAAAUGAGUGACCUUAGCCAAAAAGGACCUUUGGGUCCUCUGGAAUCUGCAGAUAAACACCAGAAGCACCUUAUUAGAAAUACUAUACCAUGUAUGGAAAUAUCUUUGGAUAAGAGAUCAUAAGAAAAAUGGUGGAAGAAGUGGAACAGUGUUUGCCAGACCCUGGUGAUGGGCUAAAAGCACACCCACCUACAGUAGUAUUUCUUUUCUUUUUUUUUCCUUUUUUGUUUUUU